UGUUAGUAGCUGGUCUGGGCCAUGAGUC
rnacentral:piRNA from 1 species